UACGUAGGCAGCAAGCGUUGUUCGGAAUUACUGGGCGUAAAGAGUGCGUAGGCGGUCUUCUAAGUCUGGUGUGAAAUCUCCCGGCUUAACUGGGAGGGUGCAUUAGAAACUGGAAUGCUAGAGGAUGGGAGAGGUAAGCGGAAUUCCUGGUGUAGCGGUGAAAUGCGUAGAUAUCAGGAGGAACACCUGUGGUGUAGACAGCUUACUGGACCAUUUCUGACGCUGAGACACGAAAGCGUGGGUAGCAAACAGG
rnacentral:rRNA from 1 species